UACGUAGGGUGCAAGCGUUAAUCGGAAUUACUGGGCGUAAAGCGUGCGCAGGCGGUUAUAUAAGACAGUUGUGAAAUCCCCGGGCUCAACCUGGGAACUGCAUCUGUGACUGUAUAGCUAGAGUACGGGUAGAGGGGGAUGGAAUUCCGCGUGUAGCAGUGAAAUGCGUAGAUAUGCGGAGGAACACCGAUGGCGAAGGCAAUCCCCCUGGACCUGUACUGACGCUCAUGCACGAAAGCGUGGGGGAGCAAACAGG
rnacentral:rRNA from 1 species